rnacentral:lncRNA from 1 species
UCCAGCAGCUUCUUCGAGUAGCUCAGACCAUCACCGGAGCUCCCUUGGCCGUCACCCGGCCCGUCCAAGCCCCGCCGGUCCUCCUCCGCCGUUCCUCCGCCCGAUCCGCCGCCGUGCAGCCCUUCUCGGCCCCAAAUCAGAGGGCUGGAAGAAUGGGUAUGGCAGCCCCUUCGUGGGCCAUUUUGGCCGCCUUCCCGAGCCCGGAUGCUCGGCCCGCU